GGACGUGGGGACAGGCAGACACAGGGACAAGGGGACAGGUUGACAGGGGGACGGGAGGACAUGGGGGACAAGAGGACAUGGGGACAGGGGUGACAGCAUGCCAAGGGUGACAAGGACACAGGGAGACAGGUUGACAGGGGGACAGAUGGACAUGGGAACAGAUGGACAUGGGGACGGGGGGACAUGGGGACAGGGGUGAGAGCACGUCAAGGGUGACAAGGGGACUGGGAGACAAGGUGACAUGGGGACAGAUGGACAUGGGGACAUGGGAACAGGGGUCAGGGGGACAGAUGGACAUGGGGACAGAUGGACAUGGGGACAGGGGUGACAGCAUGCCAAGGGUGACAAGGGGAUGGGGGGACAAGGGGACAGGGGGACAAUGGGGACAUGGGGAUAAGAGGACAGGGGAACAGGGGGACAGAUGGACAUGGGUGACACAAUGGGUGACUCAAGGCCACAGGUGACACAGUGGGUGACACAACGCCAUGGGUGACACGAGGGUGACAUGAGGGUGACACAAUGGGUGACACAAUACCAUCGGUGACACAAUGUGGAAGAUGACACCGUGGACACAUAACGGGUGACACAACAGGUGACACACGGAUGACACAAUGUGUGGCACAACAGGUGACACAACAGCAUGGGUGACACUAUGCAUGACACAACGGGUGACACAACAGGUGACUCAAAGCCACAGGUGACACAGUAGGUGACACAAUGGGUGACACAACGCCAUGGGUGACUUUGAGGGUGACACAGUGGGUGACACAAAGCCACAGGUGACACAAUGGGUAACACAACACCAUGGGUGACACAACAGGUGACACUGGGUGACACAAUGGGUAACACAACACCAUGGGUGACACAACAAGUGACACUGGGUGACACAAAGGGUGACACAACACCAUGGGUGACGCGACAGGUGACACAACGGGUGACACGACGUGUGACUCAAAGCCACAGGUGACACAGUGGGUGACACAAAGCCACAAGUGACAUGAGGGUGACACGAUGGGUGACACAAUGUGGAGGGUGACACCAUGGACACACAAUAGGUGACACAACACCAUGGGUGACACAAUGGGUGACACAAGGGUGACAUGAUGGGUGACACAAUGUGGAAAGUGAUACCAUGGACACACAACGGGUAACAAAACACUAUGGGUGACACAGUGGAUGACACAAUGGGUGACACAACACCAUGGGUGACACAGUGUCUGACAGAGCACCACAGCUGACACUGUGGGUGACACGAGGGGUGACUCAAAGCCACAGGUGACACAGCGGGUGACACAAAGCCAUGGGUGACACGAGGGUGACACGAUGGGUGACACAAUGUGGAGGGUGAUACCAUCGAACUCACAACAGGUGACACAACACCAC
rnacentral:lncRNA from 1 species